AGAAGCUUCAUAAAAUCUCCCUGCGCCAGCAUUGCAAUCUGAGUAAAUUGUCCGCGGUCGAGCCCGAUCAGUUCUGUCACUGCUUUUGUGACCUCUUUUGCCUUUGUGACCGGAAGCCUGUCAUCCGGAAAUAAGAGUGUUGUCGGCAGCUGUCUGGGAUCGUUUUGUACCCCAGGGAAAUGUAGAAAGCCUGCGCAGCCGGAUUGGACUUGGAGUGGAAGACAUCAGACAGGCAAUAGAAGAUAGUGAGGAAUUAAGAGAGCAAUGAAGAAACGUUUGGAUAUGCUUAUGAUGGAACGCGCCCUUGCGCCAUCCCGCGAGAAAGCAAAGGCAUUCAUCAUGGCAGGCGAUGUAUAUGUUGAUGGUCAGAAAGAAGAUAAGGCGGGAACCAUGUUCCCGGAGACUGUAAAGAUUGAGGUCAGAGGAAACACUCUUCCGUAUGUAAGCCGCGGUGGGCUGAAACUUGAAAAAGCUAUGAAAAACUUUGAUGUCACAUUGGAUAGUAAGGUCUGUAUGGAUGUAGGUGCGUCCACCGGAGGGUUUACAGAUUGUAUGUUACAGAACGGGGCAGUAAAAGUUUAUUCCAUUGAUGUAGGAUAUGGACAGCUUGACUGGAAGCUUCGUAACGAUCCGCGUGUAGUCUGUAUGGAGAAAACCAAUAUCCGCUAUGUGGUACCGGAGGAUUUGAGAGAACCGGCAGAUUUUUCAUCAAUUGAUGUGUCCUUUAUUUCUCUUACAAAAGUACUGCUUCCUGUAAGAAAUCUCCUUACAGAUGAGGGUGAGAUCGUAUGUCUGAUCAAGCCGCAGUUUGAGGCGGGGAGAGAGAAAGUCGGAAAGAAGGGGGUUGUAAGAGAUCCUGCUGUUCAUCAGGAAGUGAUCGAAAAAGUGCGCGAUUAUGCCAUGAGUAUUUUUAUGGAGCCAUGUCAUCUUUCUUUUUCGCCAAUUAAAGGACCGGAAGGAAAUAUCGAAUAUCUUCUUCAUCUGAAAAAACAUCCGGAAGGUACCGGGGUUACCGACAGCCUGAAGGUAUCUGUAGAAGCUGUUGUGGCAGAGGCUCAUGGACAGUUGGAUUAAAAAGGCUGAGUCAGGAAGAAACUAUGGACAGGUUUUAUAUUAUUACAAACAGUGACAAGGAUAAAAAACUUGAAAUCACAGAAAAAAUCGCAGAUUAUCUGAAAACACAUCACAAAAACUGUGAAGUACAGCAGGCAGAAAGGAAACAUGAGGGUUCCUUUCAUUAUACAGAUCCUGAUAAGGUUCCGGACGAUACACAGUGUAUUAUUGUUCUGGGAGGAGAUGGCACACUUCUUCAGGCAGCAAGGGAUGUGGUGCAUAAGGAAAUUCCUCUUCUUGGAAUCAAUCUGGGAAAUCUGGGUUUUCUUGCAGAAGUGAAUCAGACCUCUCUGUACAGUGCUCUGGAUCAGCUAAUGGCGGAUGAUUACGAGGUAGAAGAACGCAUGAUGCUGGAAGGAAGGGUAAGGUAGCGAAAUUCCUUGUCAGGUAAGUUCUGACCCGCACGAAAGGUGUAACGAUCUGGGCACUGUCUCAACAACCCGCCCGGCGAAAUUGUAGUACCGGUGAAGAUGCCGGUUACCCGCGACUAGACGGAAAGACCCCAUGGAGCUUUACUGUAGCCUAAUAUUGGAUUUCGGUAUUUCACGUACAGGAUAGGUGGGAGACUGGGAAGCACAGGCGUCAGCUUGUGUGGAGUCGACCUUGGGAUACCACUCUUGGAGUGCUGGAAUUCUAACCUGCGGCUUUGAAGCAAGUCGGGGGACAUUGUUAGGUGGGCAGUUUGACUGGGGCGGUCGCCUCCUAAAGAGUAACGGAGGCGCUCAAAGGUUCGCUCUGCAUGGAUGGAAACCAUGCGUCAGAGUGUAAACGCAAAAGCGAGCCUAACUGCGAGAAUGACGGUUCGAGCAGUAACGAAAGUUGGAGUUAGUGAUCCGGCGGUAUGUGAAUGGAAAUGCCGUCGCUCAACGGAUAAAAGCUACCCUGGGGAUAACAGGCUGAUCUCCCCCAAGAGUCCACAUCGACGGGGAGGUUUGGCACCUCGAUGUCGGCUCAUCGCAUCCUGGGGCUGUAUUCGGUCCCAAGGGUUUGGCUGUUCGCCAAUUAAAGCGGUACGCGAGCUGGGUUCAGAACGUCGUGAGACAGUUCGGUCCCUAUCUGUCGUGGGCGUUGGAGAUUUGAAAGGAGCUGUCCCUAGUACGAGAGGACCGGGAUGGACGCACCUCUGGUGCACCAGUUGUCACGCCAGUGGCACAGCUGGGCAGCUAAGUGCGGAUCGGAUAAACGCUGAAAGCAUCUAAGCGUGAAGCCGUCCUUAAGAUAAGAUAUCCCAUGCGUAAGCAGUAAGACCCCUUGUAGACUACGAGGUUGAUAGGUUCAAGGUGUAAGCACGGUAACGUGUUCAGCCAGCGAAUACUAAUCGGUCGAGGGCUUAAACC
rnacentral:rRNA from 1 species